AAUUGUCUCGACUUUUAAAACAGGAAAUUAUCAAAUAACACUGUUGUUUAUCAUAAUUAUGUUAAGGAAAAAAAAUAAAUCAAAAUUUUUCUGUGAUGAAUCUCUAUAACGGAAGUCUACAAUAUGAUUUUUUUUUUUUUAAAAAACAGAAUGACGUAAGAUCUAUUUCAGGAAGGAAACCACAAAUACAUGAUUGUGUACAGAGGAACAGUCAAUAUAAUUUCAAGAUAUGAAAACAGUGUCUUUACAGUAAUAUAUUAUGGAUAUAUGAAUAAUCAAAGAUCUUUCUGAGAAAGAAAACAACUGCUAACGACUUUGAUCAAUAAAAAAAAAAAAACGGUUUAUAUUUUCGGAUGUUAGCAAGUCGACAGUGAGUCAAUCCUAAUGUCGGAUAUGGCGUGAUACUUGUAGCGUGAUCAGUUGAUAUCCAGCUGCACCAGACCAGAGGAGAACUAACCUUAGUUUUGAACACACACAUGCUUAGAGAAAGGCAGUUCCAAGCUGAUGUACCAGAGCAAUCAAUCAAGGGUUUCAUCACUGACUAAAGUAGAAAAUGGAAGUUGCUAAGCAGAGGGAGGACUGCAGGUCCUCCACUUUAUUUGCUACAGAUAAAAUAGCCUGGACUUCAGACCACAUUAGCAGGGGAAAAUCACCAUCCCCCUGCCCUUAAAACCCCUUACCAAUGGUGUCAUUACCCACACUAAAGUUCAACAUUUGGCUCCUUUUAAAACGCUGUAGCAAGAUGAAGAACGAACACACAGAAACCAAGAUAUCUGUUUAAAUCCUAAGACACUCGCUGGACUUAUGGCAAACUUGCAGUUACACUCGGACAACUCCUACAAUGUAGCUCCAUACAGAUGCAACAAAAAAUGUCAAGCUCUGUGAAAAAUUGACAUUUGAAAGCUGAUGGAUAACAAGAGCUGUACCAUAAGACAGCACGCUCUACUUUUCUUAGUGCUCGACUCUGAAUCAGAGCUUUGCCAGUAAAAGGGGCUUAACUCAAUCAAAUAUAUAAUCAGAGUUAUGGGGAUUGUUUCUCCUGGUGUAGAAUUUGAUAGUAAAUAACUGCUUUACGUUUCAAGUGAAUAG
rnacentral:lncRNA from 1 species